AUUGAACGCUGGCGGCAUGCCUUACACAUGCAAGUCGAACGGUAACAGGUCUUCGGAUGUUGACGAGUGGCGAACGGGUGAGUAAUACAUCGGAACGUGCCUAGUAGUGGGGGAUAACUACUCGAAAGAGUGGCUAAUACCGCAUGAGAUCUACGGAUGAAAGCAGGGGAUCGCAAGACCUUGUGCUACUAGAGCGGCCGAUGGCAGAUUAGGUAGUUGGUGGGAUAAAAGCUUACCAAGCCGACGAUCUGUAGCUGGUCUGAGAGGACGAUCAGCCACCCUGGGACUGGGACACGGCCCAGACUCCUACGGGAGGCAGCAGUGGGGAAUUUUGGACAAUGGGCGCAAGCCUGAUCCAGCAAUGCCGCGUGCAGGAUGAAGGCCUUCGGGUUGUAAACUGCUUUUGUACGGAACGAAAAGCCCUGGGUUAAUACCCUGGGGUCAUGACGGUACCGUAAGAAUAAGCACCGGCUAACUACGUGCCAGCAGCCGCCGUAAGAC
rnacentral:rRNA from 1 species